rnacentral:rRNA from 1 species
GAUGAACGCUGGCGGCGUGCCUAAUACAUGCAAGUCGAGCGAACAGACGAGGAGCUUGCUCCUUUGACGUUAGCGGCGGACGGGUGAGUAACACGUGGGUAACCUACCUAUAAGACUGGGAUAACUUCGGGAAACCGGAGCUAAUACCGGAUAAUAUUUCGAACCGCAUGGUUCGAUAGUGAAAGAUGGCUUUGCUAUCACUUAUAGAUGGACCUGCGCCGUAUUAGCUAGUUGGUAAGGUAACGGCUUACCAAGGCAACGAUACGUAGCCGACCUGAGAGGCUGAUCGGCCACACUGGAACUGGGCCACGGUCCAGACUCCUACGGGAGGCAGCAGUAGGGAAUCUUCCGCAAUAGGCGAAAGCCUGACGGAGCAACGCCGCGUGAGUGAUGAAGGUCUUCGGAUCGUAAAACUCUGUUAUUAGGGAAGAACAAACGUGUAAGUAACUGUGCACGUCUUGACGGUACCUAAUCAGAAAGCCACGGCUAACUACGUG